GCCUGGUUGGCUCAGUGGUUGAGCAUCUGCCUUUGGCUCAGGGCAUGACCCUGGGGUCAAGUCCCACAUCAGGCU
rnacentral:tRNA from 1 species